rnacentral:rRNA from 1 species
CCUACGGUAGGCAGCAGUGGGGAAUAUUGGGCAAUGGGCGCAAGCCUGACCCAGCAAAGCCGCGUGAAGGAUGAAGGUUUUCGGAUUUGAAACUUCUUUCUCGAGGGCCGAAGAAUGACGGUACCUCGUCAGAAAGUCCCGGCUAACUAAGUAACAGCAGACGCGGUCAUACGUAGGGGGCAAGCGUUGUCCGGAAUGACUGGGCGUAAGGGGAGUGUGGACGGCCUGGGAAGUUAGAUGUGAAAUCCUACGGCUUAACCGUAGAAUUGCAUCUAAAACUGUGAGGCUGGAGUGCAGGAGGGGUGAGUGGAAUUCCUGGUGUAGCGGUGGAAUGCGUAGAUAUCAGGAGGAACACCAGAGGCGAAGGCGACUCACUGGACUGUAACUGACGCUGAGGCUCGAAAGCGUGGGGAGCAAACAGGAUUAGAUACCCGUGUAGUC